GAUGAACGCUAGCUACAGGCUUAACACAUGCAAGUCGAGGGGUAACGAGAGGAAAGCUUGCUUUCCUUGUCGACGACCGGCGCACGGGUGAGUAACGCGUAUCCAACCUGCCCCCAACUAGGGAAAAAACUUGCGAAAGUAAGACUAAUACCCUAUAAUUUCCGCAGAUGUCAUGUGACGAGGAAUAAAGAUUUAGCGGUUGUGGAUGGGGAUGCGUCUAAUUAGUUUGUUGGCGGGGUAACGGCCCCCCAAGGAAACGAUAAGUAGGGGUUAUGAGAGGAAGGCCCCCCACAUGGGACCUGAGAAACGGUCCAAGCUCCUAGGGGAGGCAGCAGUGAGGAAUAUUGGUCAAUGGGCGGAAGCCUGAACCGGCCAAGUAGCGUGCAGAAUGACGGCCCUAUGGGUUGUAAAUUGCUUUUAUACAGAAAUAAAAUUAGCCACGUGUGGUUUUUUGUAGUUACUGUAUGAAUAAGGACCGGCUAAUUCCGUGCCAGCCGCCGCGGUAA
rnacentral:rRNA from 1 species